rnacentral:rRNA from 1 species
AGAACGAACGCUGGCGGCAUGCCUAAUACAUGCAAGUCGAACGAACACUUCGGUGUUAGUGGCGCACGGGUGCGUAACGCGUGGGAAUCUGCCCUUGGGUCCGGAAUAACAGUUGGAAACGACUGCUAAUACCGGAUGAUAUCGAAAGAUCAAAGAUUUAUCGCCCAGGGAUGAGCCCGCGUAGGAUUAGCUAGUUGGUGAGGUAAAGGCUCACCAAGGCGACGAUCCUUAGCUGGUCUGAGAGGAUGAUCAGCCACACUGGGACUGAGACACGGCCCAGACUCCUACGGGAGGCAGCAGUGGGAAUUUUGGACAAGUGGGGAACCCUGAUCCAGCCAUCCCGCGUGUGCGAUGAAGGCCUUCGGGUUGUAAAGC